GUUACACUCUUGGUCCUGAUUUGAAUCACAGGCCUCAAAUACUCCUCGGGGAAGAGACCGGAGAUAAUCUAGAUUACCAGCUGCUGCAUUUAUUUCAACCAUCAACAUCUCAACAACACCAUUUUCAGCAAGAAACGCCUCUUCUAUGGCAGAGCGAAGAUCAGCAGGCGUGCUGUCGUUCAAGUCAGUCUGCCCCUGAAACCUGUCUACAUGUUCCUGAAAUGGAAAUAGCAUCCCGCGUCUAAUCCAUGCAUAGUCCCUUUGCGUUCCAUUUCCAGAGUAGCCAAAGAACAUGACACAUACUGUUCCAGCAACACGAUAAUUU
rnacentral:misc_RNA from 1 species